rnacentral:sRNA from 1 species
AGCCGGAGCUGCCCAGUCGCCGCGGGACCUGGGCCGCUGGGGUCUGGACGGGGGUCGCCAUGAUCCGCUUUAUCCUCAUCCAGAACCGGGCAGGCAAGACGCGCCUGGCCAAGUGGUAUAUGCAGUUUGAUGAUGAUGAGAAACAGAAGCUGAUCGAGGAGGUGCAUGCCGUGGUCACCGUCCGAGACGCCAAACACACCAACUUUGUGGAGGUGACGCCCGCUCCAUGCCUCCUGCACCCUGCCGCUUCCUCGUGCCCUACUUCGCCACUCCCUGCCCAGCUUCUAGCUGCAAGAACCCCUUGGACCCUCUAUCCAUCCUAUAUCAUUCACUCAACCCCCUUUGAGCUUGCUUGCUUCUUCCCUUCCUUUGUUUGUACUUUUCAUUGUGAAAAAUCAUAAACAUACAGAUUAGUACAAUGAAAGAAAAGUAUAUUGGAGAUUCAUAAACCUACUACCCGGAUUUAAUCAGUAUUAAUAUUUUUCCUUUUUGUUCUGCACUAUUAUUAUUAAUUUUUUUUGCCUACGAUUAAAAAAGAAUUUUUUUUUUUUGCC